CGCGCCGGCCCAGGCGCCUCUCUAGCCGCGCGGGCCCAGCCGAGCGCGCAGCACCGCGGCCCCUCGCGGCCGCCGGGGACCCGGCCGCACCGCCAUCUUCGCCGCCCCGCCCGCCCGCCGGGCCCCAGGCUCGGGGAGGCCCGACUCGGCCGCGCGCGGCGUCCUCCGGAGCCGGCGGGCCCGGCGACCACGGGGCUGGGGCCGCGGGAGUCCGGGGCGGGACGCCUGCUGCCCCCGGGCGGGGCGCCCGGACCGAGCUUGCACCGGCGCCCGCGCGGAUCCCGCGGGGACCUGAGUCCCCUUCUGGGGCCGCUGUCACCGCAGCCCCGGAGCCUGGGCGUGCCGGGUGGGCAGGCCUUCCCCGGGAGCUCAAUGCGCCUGAACCAAACGCCGCGCGCCGGCCCCUCCGCACGCCCGCGCCGCGCCGCGCCUGCAGCGGUGUUUUAAGAUCGUUGUGGGGAACCGAAGCUAGAAAUUAAUCUGUGCAUCUGCCACCGAGAGACUUCCAGAUUGAUUUUUCCUGAGUAAAACUUUACCGUGUGAUCAUGCAUGCUACUCCAUUGUUCAGGAAGCGUUCCUGGCCAUCUGACAUAUCCUAUUAAUAUUAGCUCCUCGGCUCCUGAAAUACUGCAUUUCAUCCCAAACUUUUUCACAAGCAAGACUCCAUCCCCGUGUUAUGCCAUCGAGCUGUAGUUUCCACCAGUGUAAAAUAUCGAGGGUGGAAUUGUGUCUCCAAGAGAUACCUUCAAGUCUUAAACCCCAAUGGGCCUUAAAUCCAAUGACUGGUAUUUUUAAGAUAAGAGAAAGGAGAGAGAGAGAUUUGAACCUACACACCCAGGGACGACCAUGUGAAGGUGGAGACAGAGAUUAGAGUGAUGCAGCUGCCAAGAUUUUCCAGGAGCUCUGACAAGCCAGAAAGAGGCAAGGAAAAAUUCUUCCCUAGAGUCUUCAGGGGGAGCAGAGCCCUUCUAGCACCUUGAUUUUGGAUUUGUCGUCUCCAGAAUUGUGAAAAAAUAAAUGUCUGAUGUAUUAAGCCAAACAUUUUGGUAAUUUGUUAUAGCAGCCUUAAGAAACAAAGGCAGGGCCCUAGCUGGUUUGGCUCAGUGGACAGAGCGUCAGCCUGCGGACUAAAGGGUCCCUAGUUUGAUUCUGGUCAAGGGCACAUGCCUGGGUUGUGGGCUCCGUCCCCAGUAGGGGGCCUGCAGAAGGCAGUUGAUCUGAUUCUCUCUCAUCACCUAUGUUUCUAUUUCUCUCUCCCUCUCCCUUCCUCUCUGAAAUCAAUAAAAAUAUAUUUUUUUAAAAAGAAACUGCCCUGACCGGUUUGGCUCAGUGGAUAGAGCGUCGGCCUGCAGACUGAAGGGUCCCAGGUUCAAUUCCAGUCAAGGGCAUGUACCUUGGUUGCAGGCACAUCCCCAGUGGGGAGUGUGCAGGAGUCAGCUGAUCGAUGUUUCUCUCUCAUCGAUGUUUCUAACUAUCCCUCUCCCUUCCUCUCUGUAAAAAAUCAAUAAAAUAUAUU